GUUUGGUGUCGCAGCUAACGCGAUAAGUGAUCCGCCUGGGGACUACGGUCGCAAGAUUAAAACUCAAAGGAAUUGACGGGGGUCCGCACAAGCGGUGGAACAUGUGGUUUAAUUCGACAAUACGCGAGGAACCUUACCUAGGCUUGACAUGCUUCCGACAGUCAUAGAAAUAUGAUCUUCCGGGUUUCGGCUCGGACGGUUGCACAGGUGCUGCAUGGUUGUCGUCAGCUCGUGUCGUGAGAUGUUUGGUUAAGUCCUGUAACGAGCGCAACUCCUACUGCCAGUUGCUACUUUUUUUAAAGGCACUCUGGCGGAACUGCCUGGGAAACCAGGAGGAAGGUGGGAAUGACGUCAAAUCAUCAUGGUCCUUAUGCCUAGGGCUACACACGUGUUACAAUGGCCAGUACAACGGGUUGCGAACUCGCAAGAGUAAGCUAAUCCCUGAAAGCUGGUCUAAGUUCGGAUUGAGGUCUGCAAUUCGACCUCAUGAAGUUGAAAUCGCUAGUAAUCGCGCAUCAGCAACGGCGCGGUGAAUACGUUCUCGGGCCUUGUACACACCGCCCGUCACACCACGAAAGUUCUUUGUACCCGAAGUUGCCUUAGCCAACCUGUAAAGGAGGCGGGUACCUAAGGUAUGGGGGAUGAUUGGGGUAAAGUCGUAACAAGGUAGCCG
rnacentral:rRNA from 1 species